UACCGGCAGCUACCAUGCAGUCGUACGGCAACACGAUAAGAGCUGGCUCUUAUGGGAGGAGAGUGGUAGAGGGUGAGGAAUACGUCGGAAUCUACCUUUUCGUGGGGGAAAACGUAGGGAAACUUACGCUAAUACCGCAUACGACCUUCAGGUGAAAGCAGGGGACCUUCGGGCCUUGCCCGAUUAGAUGAGCCGAUGUCGGAUUAGCUAGUUGGUGAGGUAAAGGCUCACCAGGGAGACGAUCCGUAUCUGGUCUGAGAGGAUGAUCACCCACUCUGGAACUGAGACACGGUCCAGACUCCUACGGGGGGCAGCUGUGGGGAAUAUUGGACAAUGGGCGCAAGCCUGAUCCAGCCAUGCCGCGUGGGUGAGGAAGGCCUUCGGGUUGUAAAGCCCUUUUGUUGGGAAAGAAAAGCAGUCGAUUAUUACUCGAUUGUUCUGACGGUACCCAGAAAAUAAAUACCGGUUAACGGUCGCGCCAGCCCCGCUGAGAUACGAAGUGGUGGCCGCGUUCCUCAAGAAUUACUGGGCGUAAAACCCGGGGGGGGGGGUGGAUUUAACCC
rnacentral:rRNA from 1 species